AGGUCCACCGUUGUAGAUGGCCCUAGAGGGGACCACCCACAGAAGGGGGAUGAUGCCAAAGCUACACAUGAAGUCCUGCUCCAAUGCCCAUUCUCUGUAUGAUCUUUAGAUGAGAAGACUGUGGCCAGCUGUCUCCUGAGCUACAGUGGACCCAAACUGUCCUCCGGCUCCUGCCUAGGAUCAUCCCACAUGGCACAUGAGGCAGCGCAAGCUCAUCAAGGUUCUACAGCACAGUCAAGUAUUCUACAAAGAUUUCUUCAUCUUGCUGAAGCUGGCGUCACCUGGGUUUCCGACACUUGGCGACGAGGUGGUCAGGAGGAAUUAGCCUACUUCCUACAUCCCUAAUCAGUGGUGACUACCUCAGUUACAUUCCCAACAAGAACGGGACCACCACGAGACUCUGGGUAUGGAGAAGGCACUGAGCCUCCCAAGACCUCAUCCCUUCCUUUUCAAACUCCAAGAAGAAGAAAAGAGAACUUAGGACGUGUGUUCGGAGAACGCACCUGUUCAAGAAGGCAUUGCCGAAGGCGUUGAGCUUCCUGAAAGGCUUCUUAGGAUCCACCACCAGGGCGUUCCCAGGGAUGAUCCCCUCCACCUGUCCAUACAUCACGGCGAUGAAGGAGUCAGUGGUCGGCUCAGGCCCAAUCCUCAUGCCAGGGAAGUCCUGUUCCAGGAGGUACCUGGUGGAAGGGAGCACAGUCAUCACACAGGGUUCUGUUCUCAGGGCACAGGUGUGCACGUCUGCCACUGGUGGGUGAUGAUGCGUGUCACGGCAGAGGGGCAGGUGAACAGCAAUGAUGUUCUGUGGCAGGGACAGAUAUCCCUGGAUGGGAAAUGCAAAAGCCUCUGGGGAGGAAGCAGGAUGUAAGCUGAACUUAAAAUAUCUAAUCUGUGCUUUUUGGUCUUUAUCUUUUUCCCUCCCCGAAUCAGGAGUUGGGGGUGAGGGGAAAGCAAGUUUGGGCUCAGCAAUAAAGCACAAGUUGAGGGCAGCCCAGGUGGCUCAGUGGUUUAGUGCUGCCUUCAGCUCAGGGCGUGAUCCUGGAGACUGGGGAUCGAGUCCCACGUCGGGCUCCCUGCAUGGAGCCUGCUUCU